GGUGCCCGGACGCCUGUGCGGUGCGUGUGCGCGCGUGGUGCGUGAACGACCGCGGACCGAAUCCGCGGUCCCACGGCGUUCUGCCUGGGGGUGGGACCUCGGCCCAGUUUCGCUGUGCGGUGAUCGGGGGCGAGUAGUUGACGGCCAGUGCUAGACGAAGGAGUUGCUACAUAGUGUGGACCCAGCGGCCAGCCGCGUCCAUGGAGGCAACGUGCCGGCCAUGGAGUUAUGCGUCGCGAGCCCCGCCUGUGCCACUUGCAUCGGCAGCAACCAGAGCGGUGUUCGACGACGUCGCUGGGUCACCCUGUUCCUGCUCCUGGUCGCUGCCGUGUCAGGAAUGGUUAAAGUCCAAGGCAUUUCGAAAAAUGUUCGAGACGUGGAACUGAGACUGUUUGGCCAAGCAAGAAGAAGAUAUGAGGUGUGCUGGACGUCGUGGUCACCGAGGGGCGACUUCUGUCGGACAGCAAGAAGACGCGGUACGUGCUUCAGGGCGAGGGCGCCACGCUUCUCUGCACCUUCAUGCUGUGGCCCGGCGAAGACUUGCGGCGCGUCCUCUGGUUCAACAACGGCGCCGAUGUCUACAUGUGCCGCAAGGGACGCAGUCCGAGGCGUCCAACCUGUUCGACAAGCGCGUCGACCUGAGCGACCGGUCGCCGUCGUUCAUCUCCAUCCUCAGCGCAUACAUGUCGGUGAAGGGAAACUACACGUGCAAGGUCGAGACGGAUCAGGGCACUUCGCAGAACGACUUCUUCCUCACCGUCAUCGUAGGUGUGCUGGGCAUCGUGGUGACCGAGGUGCGGCUCCUGUCGGACGGCAACAAGACGCAGUACGUGCUUCAGGGCGAGGGCGCCACGCUGCUCUGCUUCUUCGUGCUGUCACCGGGCGAAGACCUGCGGCGCGUCCUCUGGUUCAAGGACGGCGCCGAGGUCUACGUGUGGCGCAAGGGGCGACGUCCGCUGGCGCGCAACCUGUUCGACAAGCGGGUCGACCUGAGCAACCGCUCCCCUUCCUUCAUCACCAUCCUCGACGCGGACAUGUCCAUGCAGGGAAACUACACGUGCAGGGUGGAGACGGACGCGGGCGUGUCACAGAACGACCUCUUCCUCACAGUUAUCGUCGACUCCUGCAAGGAAGACAGCUGGACUACGUUCUCGGACCGCGUGUCGUGCACCGAGACUGUGGAACUUGACUGCGGUGGCAUGUUCCCCAAGCCUUCCCCAGCGUGCGGCGACUACAAUGAUCAGACUGGAGUGUACUUGAACACAAUGCCGUUCGACCGCCUAAAGACAGUGGCCAACUCGACGUACGAAGUGCGACUGCAUCGCGUGUUUCACGUGCAAGACUGGCUCGCCUUCCGUAACCUGACCUUCCGUUGCCACGUCAUUGUGCUUGGGACAGACUGGCGAACUGGAAACUCGCAUAAACUAUUCGGAGAUUCAGGUUGCUCGCCUGAACCUCCGGAGAUCGGGAAUGGCUACUACAAUGUCAGCGGCGAGGAGACUUGCUGGCGCACGCCGGCCGAAGGAUCGGUGACGCGUUACUACUGCCUCGAAGGGUUUGAACUGUGGGGUCCCCGGGAGCUGGUCUGCCACAAUGGCACCUGGGUGGUUCUGGCGCCGCUGUUUACCUAUUCAAGGAGGCAGCCGACUACAGCAGCUGGAAGGCCCUUAAAGAACAUCAUCUGCGAGAUGAGCUGCCAAGCCACCGUUGCAUUCAACCGCUUUUUCACUGCCUUGAUGACAACACUGCCCGUGCUACUGUCCCUCCACCUUAUCCCGUCUUCGGCAUAGAGCCACUCCUUUCGAACCUGCCCUGGACAUGCUGGAUGAAGGCAGACAGAACAGUCACCUGGUAUCCGCUCGUGCCUUAGUUUACGUUUGGACCAUCAGCUGACCCGUGGACCCGCAUGGCUAUAUGCUGGCCCGUCCGCAAAUCUUUAUUAUGGGCUCCGAAGCUGUUGUCAGCAAGAUGGUGGUGCAAGUGUUAAGGAGCUUUGUUUAGACAUCUGUGGAAUUCAUGACAUUGUAGACUUCGUCUGCAAGGCGAUUUCCACUGACUGUGAUCGUCCUCGUGUGCAUAAUGGGUACAAAUGCACAAAAUACGACGGCAACAACUUACAUGGCAUGACCCGAAGCCGCAGCGUGGAG